rnacentral:misc_RNA from 1 species
GAUGAAGAACGUAGUGAAAUGCGAUACUUGGUGUGAAUUGCAGAAUCCCGUGAACCAUUGAGUUUUUGAACGCAAGUUGCGCCCGAAGCCGUUAGGCCGAGGGCACGCCUGCCUGGGUGUCACACAUCGUUGCCCCAAUGCCAAUCGCCUCACUUUGUAGGUAUUUGCUUGGGGUGAAUGUUGGCCUCCCGUGAGCUUUGUCUCACGGUUUGUUGAAAAUCGAGUGCAUGGUGUCGGGUGUACCAUGAUGGAUGGUGGUUGAGUGAUGAUGCUCGAGACCAAUCAUGGGUAACUCCACCAGAAUUGGGCUCGGUGACCCACAUGCGUCCCUUGGAUGCUCCCUAAGGAGACCUCAGGUCAGGCGGGGCUACCCGCUGAGUUUAAGCAUAUCAAUAAGCGGAGGA